rnacentral:rRNA from 1 species
AUACCCGCUGAACUUAAGCAUAUCAAUAAGCGGAGGAAAAGAAACCAACAGGGAUUGCCUCAGUAACGGCGAGUGAAGCGGCAAUAGCUCAAAUUUGAAAUCUGGUCCUUUCAGGUCCCGAAUUGUAAUUUGUAGAGGAUGUUUCGGCUCACGCCCCGGUCUAAGUUCCUUGGAACAGGACGUCACAGAGGGUGAGAACCCCGUUUGUGGCCGGCGGCUUACGCCAUGUGAAACUCCUUCGACGAGUCGAGUUGUUUGGGAAUGCAGCUCUAAAUGGGAGGUAAAUUUCUUCUAAAGCUAAAUACUGGCCAGAGACCGAUAGCGCACAAGUAGAGUGAUCGAAAGAUGAAAAGCACUUUGGAAAGAGAGUUAAAAAGUACGUGAAAUUGUUGAAAGGGAAGCGCUUGCGACCAGACUUGCCCGCGGAUGCUCAGCCGGUCCUUCGGCCGGUGUACUCUUCCGCGGUCAGGCCAGCAUCAGUUCGGGCGGUCGGAUAAAGGCCUUGGGAAUGUAACUCACCUCGGUGAGUGUUAUAGCCCUCGGUACAAUACGGCCCGCCUGGACUGAGGAACGCGCUUCGGCUAGGAUGCUGGCGUAAUGGUCGUAAGCGGCCCGUC